AGAGCGAACGUUAGCGGCGCGCCUAACACAUGCAAGUCGCACGAGAAAGGGCCUCGGCCCCGGUACAGUGGCGCACGGGUGAGUAACACGUGGGGGACCUUCCCCGGAGUGGUGGAUAACCUGCCGAAAGGCGGGCUAAAGACAGCAUACGAGGGCGGCAUCAAGGUGCCGCCCUGAAAGCAGGCCUCUCUUCAGAAGCCUGCGCUCCGGGAUGGCCCCGCGUCCCAUCAGCUAGUUGGUGAGGUAACGGCUCACCAAGGCGACGACGGGUAGC
rnacentral:rRNA from 1 species